rnacentral:rRNA from 1 species
CACGGGGCGCAGCAGGCGCGAAACCUCCGCAAUGCAAGCAAGUGCGACGGGGGGACCCCAAGUGCCACUCUUAACGGGGUGGCUUUCAAGAAGUGUAACCCAGCUCCAUGAGUAAGACUCAUUUGG